GGAGGGGAGAUGAAGAGGGAAUUUAGUAGGAACCGUAGGCAUUGUCGCUGGCCUUUGGAAACAAACGCAUGUGCACAUCUCGAAAGUCUUACUUAGUACCUCGAUCUCUUUCCUUUUGUGAACCCCUUUUCUUACACCUGUGCACCCAUUGUAGGUCCCGCGAGGGAUCCUAUGUCUCUAUCUACUCUUAAAUGUAUGGCCUAGAAUGUCUUGAAAYGUCGUCCGGCCUGGCUAACGCUUGGUUGGCGGCAGUAAAGAACCUUAUACAACUUUCAGCAACGGAUCUCUUGGCUCUCGCAUCGAUGAAGAACGCAGCGAAUUGCGAUACGUAAUGUGAAUUGCAGAUUUUCAGUGAAUCAUCGAAUCUUUGAACGCACCUUGCGCUCCUUGGUAUUCCGAGGAGCAUGCCUGUUUGAGUGUCAUUAAAUUCUCAACCAUCCUUUGAUUUAUUUCAAGGGUUGGCUUGGAUCUUGGGAGCUGCCGGCGACUCACUGGGGUCUUGUCGGCUCUCCUUAAAAGUAUUAGCAAAUGGUGUGAUGAGCUUCGUGCAUGAACGGCCUUUGACGUGAUAAUGAUCGUCGUGGCUGGAGUGCCUCGAGAGGCUUAGAUCGUCUUUGCUUCUAAUCUUGAAUUGUAGAGGGAGGGGAACUCUGCUCCGGCGGACGAAACUUUCCUUUACUUUCCUUUUURAYUUU
rnacentral:rRNA from 1 species